rnacentral:sRNA from 1 species
AUAAAAAAACCCCGCGCGGCCGGUACCGCGCGGGGUU